rnacentral:rRNA from 1 species
GAUGAACGCUGGCGGCGUGCUUAACACAUGCAAGUCGAACGGAAAGGCCCAACCUUGGUGGGGUGCUCGAGUGGCGAACGGGUGAGUAACACGUGGGUGACCUGCCCUGCACUUCGGGAUAAGUUCGGGAAACUGGGGCUAAUACCGGAUAGGAGCUCCUGCUGGAUGGUGGGGUGGGGAGAGUUCCCGGGGUGGGGGGAGCUCGCGGCCUUUCUGCGUGUGUGGGGGGGAAAGGGCUACCAAGGGGUUGACGGGGAGCCCGGCCGGGAGGGUGUACGGCCCCAUUGGGACUGGGAUACGGCCCCGACUCCCACGGGAGGGAGCCGGGGGGGAUAUUGCACCAUGGGCGCGAGCCUGAUGGCGCGACGGCGCGUGGGGGGUGACGGCCUUUGGGUUGUAAACCCGUUUCGCUCGGGGAGAAGCGUUUUUGUACGGGAACCUGUAGAGGAACCACCGCUUACCUCCUG